rnacentral:rRNA from 1 species
GACGAACGCUGGCGGCGUGCUUAACACAUGCAAGUCGAACGGAAGGGCCCUGCUUUUGUGGGGUGCUCGAGUGGCGAACGGGUGAGUAACACGUGAGUAACCUGCCCUUGACUUUGGGAUAACUUCAGGAAACUGGGGCUAAUACCGGAUAGGAGCUCCUGCUGCAUGGUGGGGUUGGAAAGUUUCGGCGGUUGGGGAUGGACUCGCGGCUUAUCAGCUUGUUGGUGGGGUAGUGGCUUACCAAGGCUUUGACGGGUAGCCGGCCUGAGAGGGCGACCGGCCACAUUGGGACUGAGAUACGGCCCAGACUCCUACGGGAGGCAGCAGUGGGGAAUAUUGCACAAUGGGCGGAAGCCUGAUGCAGCAACGCCGCGUGCGGGAUGACGGCCUUCGGGUUGUAAACCGCUUUCGCCUGUGACGAAGCGUGAGUGACGGUAAUGGGUAAAGAAGCACCGGCUAACUACGUG